AAAGAGCAAAACAUACAAACUAGGUCUAUCAACAUACGAAAGGAAAACAGAAGUCCACACAGUGUGGCUAGAGACAAGCCCAUCAAACCAAACCAACUCACAAAUCAACCCAACCCCAACCUAGAAACUCUAGGUAUAUAGAGAAUAACAUAACUAGAAGAGUACUCCGCCGACCACCUCUAUGAGCUGCCAUUGCUAGAAAAGCUGAGCAGAGAUUGAAGCUAACCCAUCAUUAGUUCAAUAAGGAGCAACCAAACGUCGCCCAUCACAACAUAACCUUUCACCCAUCAGCACUAACCUCCAUAUUUCUCCACAAACCUCAUUACUCAACUCCACCUCGCCAAAAGGAUGCUGUCGCAGAGCUCUCCAGCUCGCGUAGGCCAAUGGGACAACCUUCACUGUCAUGGUGUAGAAGCAAAUCCCAGAGAUGCGAGAUAGCUGAAGUAAUAAUUGUCCUUUUGAUACUCAAAGUAGACGCAAAAGACCAAUCACCAAAUGACACCCUUUAACCUUCAAAUAGCCAGCACAAUGGCAAGCCCCAUGCUACAAACAAACCAGACAGACACAGGAUUCCAAACAAAAGCUCUCACUAUUCACCCCUGCAUAAACAUAAUCCAAAAACUGUGCACACUAAAUCCAGGGAUGAGGGAGAGCUACCCCAAGUUUGUUUGGAGAGACAAAUGAUGACCGUUUUCUUUGGAGAGACAAAUGAUGACCGUUUUCUCUACCCUGAAGGGUAGGGAAAGCCAGGACGAGGUCUCCUCGGCGAUACCAGGAUUUAAAGCCAAGCAACAGAAUUAAGAGAAAAAUAUCUCUUGAAACAAAACAGAGAAAGCAAUCCUGGCCAGAUAUGAAAAAAUGAAAAAUAAACGGG
rnacentral:misc_RNA from 1 species